rnacentral:rRNA from 1 species
UACGAAGGGGGCGAGCGUUGCUCGGGAUCACUGGGCGUAAAGCGCACGUAGGCGGAUUGCUAAGUCAGGGGUGAAAUCCUGGAGCUCAACUCCAGAACUGCCUUUGAUACUGGCGAUCUUGAGUCCGGGAGAGGUGAGUGGAACUGCGAGUGUAGAGGUGAAAUUCGUAGAUAUUCGCAAGAACACCAGUGGCGAAGGCGGACUCACUGGCCCGGUACUGACGCUGAGGUGCGAAAGCGUGGGGAACAAACAGG